rnacentral:rRNA from 1 species
UCAGUCCUACGGGGCGCAGCAGUGGGGAAUAUUGCGCAAUGGGCGAAAGCCUGACGCAGCGACGCCGCGUGAGGGAUGAAGGUCUUCGGAUCGUAAACCUCUGUCAGCAGGGAAGAACGGUCACUGUGCUAAUCAGCAGUGAAUUGACGGUACCUGCAAAGGAAGCACCGGCUAACUCCGUGCCAGCAGCGGCGGUAAUACGGAGGGUGCGAUCGUUAAUCGGAAUUACUGGGCGUAAAGCGCUCGUAGUCGGUAUGUCAAGUCAAGGGUGAAAUCCCCGCGCUCAACGUGGGAACUGCGUUUGA